rnacentral:lncRNA from 1 species
CAGAGACCAGAUUGCAGCUUAUGGGCUGAGGGACGGCAGAAGGAAGAGCAGGGCUGUGCCUUACACUGGCCUUGCUGGAUGCGGGCUGUUCUGCACGGCCACGCAGUUCGCAAUUCCUGAAACUCAGUUGGUAAAGAUGUUUUGUGCUUGUCAGCUUCCCUGACUUGGAAUGGUGCGUGCGUGGGUGAGGUCUGCCAGGGGCAGCGCUCAGGAAAGGCAAAGGUUUUGCCUUUCGUACCUUUCGUACGAAGGAAAAGGAACCUUUCGUACCACCGAGGAUGGCAGAAGCCACUUUGAGAGCAUUUAGUGCUCACUCACAGCGAGGUGACGUGAAUGUUUUUGUCUGAACGUGGGCCCACCGACCAGAAAGACCAGUGAAAGCAGUGCAUGGAGGUGUGCCCUGUGCGUGCUGCCGGCUGUCCCCACGUGUGCCGCCCCCAGCAGCAACAGCUCCGCUUUCUGCUCAGGGGACUGUGUGUGCCCACCUGUGUGUGAGCGCCCGAUGGUUUUACCGUGCCACUGCUACAAGAGAUGCGGUGCAGUGUGUUGACUGCAAUUACGGCUUCCUUCAUACCGAGUUCCAAAGAAAGAGUUUGUUAAUUUUGAUAAUCCGUGCCUUGAAUUCAUGUCUGUCUGUCUGUCACGGAGAAGAGUUGGGGUUGCCCCUCCUGGCCUCGGUCAGGGCCAGCUGUUCCUCUGGGAGAGAGAAGCGCUGCCGCCCGUCGGCAAUGAGCGCAGCACGGCCUGUUUGGUCACGCCGAAGAUGCUUCGUUACGGCAGCGCUGCGGCGGAUGGAACCGCGGAGUUCGUCUCUGUGCCGUCUGCUCACAGCGCUGCCCGGGUCAGCCCUCAGCGCGGGGCUGUGCCGGUGGUGCUGACAGCGGGAAGGCGGUUCUGAAAUGUAGCACCAUUGCAGUAACAUUUACUAUUGCAUUUAAGCAUAUUUCUUGCAUAAUUCUUUGAUUUUUUUUUUUUAAGUUCGAUGUACCUAAUAAACAUUUGACUUUG